rnacentral:lncRNA from 1 species
UUCGUUGCUUCUUGAUUCGGCCAGAGCAGAAGAAAGAACCACGCUCAAAUUUGUCUGAUUCGGCCAGAGUUUUCUCCCUGUGGGACUCAAGUCCUGAAGUCCAUAUUACAAAUCAAAACUAACCACAGAGCUUAAGUGUAAUGUUUGGUUGCAGAAUUUGGUGGAAUGGAAUGGAACCAUUCCACUCUAUUCAGAAUGGAAUAGUUUGUUGUUUGGUUGUGAAAUGGACAUUGUUGAAUGGAAUGGUUACAUUAAGUGUUUGGUUGAGGAGAUGAGAUGGAAAUGAAAUGCAAAUGAUGUGCUCACCUGUUGGUUAGGUUACCCCUCAGACUAAUGAGUAUGAGCAACAUUUCAUUACAUGAUUUCAACACUAAGAAAAAAUUGGACAAUUUAUAUACAUACAUCAAAACAUAAUAGCACAUAGUAAAUUUGAUCACCUCACUAUACUCAAUCAUCAAACAAGGAAAAACAGACAAAUUGAAACAAGAAAAGCUGAAAAUUCAUCCAUCUGCUUCUCCCUCUGUAGGCUGUAGCACCCCCUGUCGCCAGCCUCCUUUGCCAUGGCCCCUCCGCCGGCCUCCUCUGUCCUGCAGCCCCUUCGCGGCCUCCUCUGCCGGCCGCCGGCAUUCUCUCCCUUCCGUCGGUCGCCGGCUGGGAUCUCGUGGGGAGCGGCCAGAUUUUGUGAGGUGGGCGCCACCGCCAUGGAUCGAGAGACGAUGGGGAGACAGAGAGGAUCGGGGAGGGGGUGAGGAUAGAGGAGAGAGAGGAGGUCGGGAGUCGGGGCGUGAUCAAGUUUUUCACUAGGACCCACCGGUUCCAUGCGGAACAAACGCAUUCCUCCGUUUCCGAGUUAUCAGUUAGUUCCGCAUAUGAAAGGAAUAUUCCUCUUUGAGGAACCAACUAGUUCCAUUCUACUUCUCAAUAUUAUACAAACCAAACACACGAACCACACAAAAAUCUAGAACCGUUUCAUGACAUUACACCAUAUUCCACAAACCAAACACAACCUAAAUUACUCACAUAAAUUUUAAUGCCAUAAUGCGAAAUACGGCCACCAAAACUGAUAAACGAGUCUAAUGUGGAUUGGUCGCUACCUUAUGUCCUCUCGGUAUGGGUUCCUGUAAAAGAUUGGAGGAAUCUUUGGAGCAAGAAAGGAGGAAGAUGUCCCGUAGAACUGUAUUUGUAUUGCGCGAGCAGUUUAGUACAACAAGUUGUAAAAUGGAAGCAAGUAGUACAAUAACUUGAUUUGGGGUGGGGGGCGUGGUGGUGGGGGGAGGGGGCAUGUGGCUUGCCGGUUUACUUGGUCAUUUUUAUGGAAAGCCCUGCUCUCCGUUUCGUUUAUUCAAAAAAAAAAACUCCGAAUCAACUCCCCCGUUCCAGUGCAUGUUCUUAUCCUCCAUCUAUAGCACCAGAGAUCCAAGAAACCAAAACGAGAAACGGAAGAUCUUAAGCAUACGCUUGAGGCUGUCGUUGGUCUGCUGCUACUGUUGUUGCUGCAUAUGCUUGUGGUUGUCGUUGGUGCUCUUCUAUGCCAGCAGUCGUGCCUUGAACUCCUCAAUUUGUUGUUUCUAUUUAUUUUUUUCCAAUUUACGGUGGUUAGAAUUGUGAUGCCCUCAAGCACUGGAAGGGGGAUUUGAUUCAGAGUUUUUUUUUAAUAAGCGAAACGGCGUGGGGUACUGUACCGCCGACACCAUUUUGCAACUUGCUCUCUUAGACUUCUCGCGCAGUACAUGUUCUUGUGUACAUCCAGUGUUAUUGCUUCUAGAGGAAGCGAGCUGGCGAACGUGUUGAACUCCUUCGGCAAUUCUAGUGACUGUAUUUCAGGGCUCUUCACGGCCUCCCCCGGCAUACCGGACCACCGGACUUGUAGUUUUCUUUUUGUCUGUGUACAGUUUUUUCAGUUCUUUUUCUGUUCCCCCCUGGCGUUUAGGUUUUGUAAGACUUGGACAUUUUGGUCCCUCUUGUAAUGAAAAAUGACAGCACACUUAGACAUGGGUUCGGAAAAAAAGAAUACUCUUAUUUCCGCUUUGGAAUAUUAUCUGCGACUAACUAGUGCAAUUCCCUACUCCUGUAUCUCUUCUAUCCUGCGUUCCCAAGCCCUCAAAGAAGAAUCUAAAAUUUUAUGUAGAAUAUGCAAUUUUCCCCAACUGUCCGGAACACGUACUUUAGCGGUCAGAAAAAUCCGGCAACCUUAUUAGAUUCAAACAAAACAGCCACCAAUAUUCAAUGAGCAGAGUACUCGAAAUACAAAUCUUCGAUGAUAAGUGCACCUAAUAAUGGUAGACUUCUUGACCUUGACUAGCAACACUUACUUAGUUACUUGUCCUGCCCGAAGCACCGUUUGUGGAGCUGUCAUCACACAGAAUCUAGCUCAGGUCCUAGUUUUCUCUAGACGAAGAGUACACCACUACACCAGAGUACUAGACCACUUGCACUGUAGUUAACUGCUCCACGUACAUAGUUUAAUGACGCAAGGCAUCACGAUGACACUCGCAAGCAUUUGUGAACAAUUCAAAAGCUACAUGGCCUUACGUGCAAAACACCCAUGCUGGGGGGGAAGGCCCAAACAAAACGACCUAACACUUGUCGAGAUCCGAGCCAGGGUCAGCCCGGUCAGGGGUAGUCCGUGUCAAUAAACAUUCGCAGAGGCCGGACAGGGUUGACUUGCCACAACAGCCCCUUCCACAUGCAGCAGAUUGCAUAGAUCGCAAACUACCUCUAAAUAAUAACCAAGUACCAUGCCGUAAAGAUAAACACAACUUGCUUAUUAUCGUCUUUUCUUGCUCCAUCAACCGCGAGGAGACUGACGGUCGCGUGAUCGGCGAAUGGGAAAGGAAGAACAACACGGCAACGAACGUACCUGCUGCUGCUGCUGCUGCAGCAGCAUGUGGCCACCGCGUUUAGCGACAGACUGCAGCUCUGCAGUGGCUUCGCGACUUGCGAGAGGGGAAAGGGCAAAGCUAGCCGCGAGCGUUCCCACGCGCCGCGCUGCUUCUGCUUCCCUUCAUUUCUUAGCUACCAAGGCGAGAUUCUUCUUCCGUCAAUGCGUCUAUGCAUUGGUCUCAAAAGUCAGGUUACCUCUCCGGAUUUUAUUUUUAUUUUUUCUCUGCUCUCCACCACUCCCUCACAGUUGCCCUGAGCGUUCUCCAGUCUUCUGUGUCGUAAUGUGUGGUGCAUGCUGCUGUGCCAAUUAACCACCACGUCUCCUUUCCAUCGUCCUCAUGCUGGCGUAUGUGUCCACAGAGGGAAACUUCCCUGAAGGAACGGUGGGGACACCGGUGAGGUAAAGCCUGGCUGUGUUGACAG